UACGUAGGGGGCAAGCGUUGUCCGGAAUCAUUGGGCGUAAAGAGCGCGUAGGCGGUCCGGUAAGUCCGCUCUGAAAGUCCGGGGCUCAACCCCGGGAGGCGGGCGGAUACUGUCGGGCUAGAGUCCGGAAGAGGCGAGUGGAAUUCCUGGUGUAGCGGUGAAAUGCGCAGAUAUCAGGAGGAACACCGAUGGCGAAGGCAGCUCGCUGAGACGGUACUGACGCUGAGGCGCGAAAGCGUGGGGAGCAAACAGG
rnacentral:rRNA from 1 species